GAUGAAGAACGUAGCGAAAUGCGAUAAGUAAUGUGAAUUGCAGAAUUCAGUGAAUCAUCGAAUCUUUGAACGCACAUUGCGCCCGCCAGUAUUCUGGCGGGCAUGCCUGUCCGAGCGUCAUUUCAACCCUCGAACCCCUCCGGGGGGUCGGCGUUGGGGAUCGGCCCUUUCACCGGGUGCCGGCCCCUAAAUACAGUGGCGGUCUCGCCGCAGCCUCUCAUGCGCAGUAGUUUGCACACUCGCACCGGGAGCGCGGCGCGUCCACGUCCGUAAAACACCCCAACUUCUGAAAUGUUGACCUCGGAUCAGGUAGGAAUACCCGCUGAACUUAAGCAUAUCAAUAACGGAGGA
rnacentral:misc_RNA from 1 species